rnacentral:tRNA from 1 species
GGGGAUAUAGCUCAACUGGGAGAGCGCGGCGUUCGCAAUGCCNAGGUUGGGGGUUCGACCCCCCCUAUCUCCACAA